AGCGCUUGUAUAUGCUUUUGUUCAGCUGUGGACAAAGGCAGGUUAGACAGGUGAAAAAUAAACCCUCUUUUGCAACCCAGAACUCAUUGUAGAAAUUUUGAUAUAUACAAGAAGAAAUAGA
ensembl:snoRNA